rnacentral:rRNA from 1 species
GACGAACCACACAAACGUUAUUCGGAAUUACUGGGCUUAAAGGGUGCGUAGGCUGUGCAGAAAGUUGGGUGUGAAAUGCCUCGGCUCAACCGAGGAACUGCGCUCAAAACUACUGUACUUGAGGGAGAUAGAGGUGAGCGGAACUUAGGGUGGAGCGGUGAAAUGCGUUGAUAUCCUAAGGAACACCCGUGGCGAAAGCGGCUCACUGGAUCUCUUCUGACGCUGAGGCACGAAAGCUAGGGUAGCGAACGGG